rnacentral:lncRNA from 10 species
GGCCUCUGACUGCUGGACCGAGGAGCUCACCCAGCAAACCCUGCUGGUGGCCAGAGGGCCUGGCAGGCCCCGAGCAGGAGGCACAGGCGGGGUGGUGGGGGACAUAGAGCACGUCCUGAGGGGGAUGGCACACAGCAAUAGAUGAACGGAUGAGUUACCUUAGCCAAGCCUCGCAACUUCCGCAUGAGUCAAUGUGAUAAUUACUCCACUUUAUAGAUGAGGCAGCUGCCACUCUCAGAGCUGUGAUAAUCUGGCCAAGGUCGCAUGGCUGGCAAAUGGCCCUGCACUGGAUGGAUCAGCUGACACCACCCAGACCGUGGUAAUCUGGCUCAACCAGUUCUGCCACCCCACCCAGGAACAGAAGACAGCAAGCAAACCUCACUUCAAUCCCUAUGAUUCCAUCUCCAACCUGAUCAAUCAGUACUCCCCACUUCCCGAGACCCUACCUGCCAAAUUAUCCUUAAAAACUCCAAUCCCCGAAUGCUUGGGGAGACUGAUUUGAGUAAUAAUAAAACUCCCAUCUCCCGCAC